AAAUACAACAGCAAUACAACAUCAACACCAAACCACCCCACCCCCCUGCACGUUUUCUUCUCCUUCUUUGCUUGCAAACCCAGCAAAUAGUAACCGACCCAACUGCCUCAUCUUCUUCCCUACGCGACUAGACCCAGCAACACCAGCGAGCAAAUCGCGCUGCAAACCCAGAAAGUCCGCAAAGAAAUCCAGUCGUCCCAUCCCAUUUUCCCCCUUUUUCAGAAGAAAUUUCCAUCCCUUCCAUUAUUGCCAAAGAGCAAAGGAAAUUCAAAUUUCAAAUUCAAAUUAAUUCCAAAUCAUCAAUCAAUUUCCCCCCCAAAAUUGAUCUCAAUUCUCUAUAAAUAGUCUCUUAUUCACUGCAUAAGGGGGGGACCAAAAAAAAAAAAAGUUUUGAGUUUGAGUUUCUUUGGCAAUAGUCAUUUUACACUUAAAAUUUUAUACUUAGUUCUCUGGUUUUUAAGUUCCGAAGAGGUCAUCGCUAAGAUUAUCUCGGUUUGUUGUUAAUAUUCGAAUUUGGUGGUGGAAGAAUCGAUGCCCUCCUUUGCUCGUCGUCUCAGUUUCGCUGCCCGGAAAAGGUAAUCUCGCCCCUUCUUGCAUUCUGUUUCUACGUAGUAUGUGUUAUGUGUUUGAUAUUUGGCGGAGUCCAGUUAUUAGGAUUAGUUGGUUUCUCCGUUUUAAUCUUUUUCUUUCUGUUUCGUUUCUCCCGUGAGUUCUUAGGACUGUAAGCAUGAAGUAAAUAUCAGUGAAGUUCUUUUGAGGUUCAUUUAGCUUCGACUUCGAAUGCAUUAAGCUAUAUAGUUCUGUCUCUUCAUUGUUUACCCGAUGUUUUGGUUUUCUUCUCUGUUGUCCGAUUCAUCGUUAUAGAUUACCACCAUUGCUAGUCUAAUCCCGUAGUAUUUAUCUAUGUUCUUGCUCAACUCGUAUACUGUUCAUGUCAUUUUCGCGUCUUCAACUUGUGAUAUCAUGUUUGCAAUUCACCUUAGUCUUAUUUUAACUUGGAUCAUUUGCUCGUAGUUAAUCUAUUCCUAAUUAUGUAUCUUGCCUUUCAUAUUGGAAAUGUUUCGCUUUCGAAAAUGUGGCAGAGAAUCUGAUUGUUCCCUUGCUUUCUGAGUGUAGUUUGAUCCGUUUUGGUGUUAUUCAUUAACCAAAAAUCUGGAAAUUUUAUUCAAUAUUGUAGUUGUUCAUCUGAUAAAUGUUGACGUAGUUUCUUCACAAUCUUGACUUGUUAUAACAUCACGUGAGUACCAUUUCGUUUUGGCUUAAGUUAGCGAUGCAUUUUUAGUAUAAUAUUUUCUUGUAUCUCCUAAGUUAGUCGUUAUGUAUUUCCAUUCUUUGUUCUUGGAUACUAGCUGGUGGUUUGAGGGCACGAUUGUUUCUUUCUUUUAACCUUCCUGUCCAACCCCUUUAGUAGUCGAUUUAAGGUGUUAAACCAUGCUUUUAUCAUAACAGAAGGGUCAUAGUGAUUAGUUUUAAUAUAGUUCCUACUCAUGCAUUUAUUAUUGUUUAAUUAUGACCAUUUGAUGUACGCUUGUUUCCUCUGUUAAGUUGAGGUCACUAGUCGCCAUUUUUUAUUUUUUUUGCUUUCCUUUGUGGAUUAUAAAUGAAGAACUGAUCCUUGAAGACUGCUCAUUAGAAAAUUGUUGUGGGAACAUUUGUUUGUUAAUAUAAAGUUUGAGUUUUGUUAGAGUAAUUAUAUUGGUCUAGUUUCAAUUUGUCAUAUGGAUUUGAAUAUUUUAUUUUGAUGCUCUUAGAAAUAGGUAAGUUAUGUAUUAAUUGUGUUUUUGCUAAAGUUGAUGUUAUCAAUGGUUUAGCUUAAUCAUCAUAUGCAGCAUGCUGUUAACUUUUCGCUAAGGAAGUCUAUGCCCCUUUAUUUUUUAAUUGUCCUCUGUAAAUCACUCCCCUGUGGGUUAUUGUUUCAAAAAUAUCAUGUUGCUUUAUUUUCUAUUAUGAACUACUUUGAGCAUUACUUAUGUUCCUUUUCAUUUGUUUAUGCAUGUGAAAACCCGACCCGAGGCCUCAUGGACUCUAUCUCCUCUCCUUGCCAUUCGAUGAUUGGGUCAUGGAGGCCCAAAUUACUUUUAUCGAGUCAGCCAACCUUGAAAAAUCGAAGAAUAAGUCUUUGGAGUUAACGUACAGGUCCCGAAAAGCAGAAAAAUAAGUUGUAUACAUCCUAUAUACACCGAUAUACAACCGAUGUAUACAAAAAUGGGAAUUUGGCUAAGACCAAAAUUUUCAUCGAAUUUGGCCCAAAAGGAGGCCCAAAUUCAAUUUCUCCCUUACUCUUUAAUUAUUUAAUCGUGAUUAUUAUUUUAUUUUUUUAUUAGCUCUGGCUUUAUUUGUUUUGGUUUUAACUUAAUUAGAUUCCCCAAAAGAUGAGUUAUUUUCUUAGUGUUGGUUUACUUUAAAUAUUCUUUUUGUGUUGUGGUUAUUUAUUUUAUUAAUCGAAUACCG
rnacentral:lncRNA from 1 species